rnacentral:rRNA from 1 species
UACGUAGGUGGCGAGCGUUGUCCGGAUUUACUGGGCGUAAGGGGCGUGCAGGCGGUUUGUUAAGUGCAGGGUGAAAGCUCCCGGCUCAACUGGGAGAGGUCCUUGCAUACUGGCGAACUCGAGGGAGGCAGAGGAAAGUGGAAUUCCCGGUGUAGUGGUGACAUGCGUAGAUAUCGGGAGGAACACCUGUGGCGAAGGCGGCUUCCUGGCCUGUUCUUGACGCUGAGGCGCGAAAGCUAGGGGAGCAAACGGG